rnacentral:rRNA from 1 species
UACGAAGGGGGCUAGCGUUGUUCGGAAUCACUGGGCGUAAAGGGUGCGUAGGUGGUUGGGUAAGUCAAAUGUGAAAUCCCGGAGCUCAACUCCGGAACUGCAUUCGAUACUGCCCGGCUCGAGGAUUGGAGAGGAGACUGGAAUUCACGGUGUAGCAGUGAAAUGCGUAGAGAUCGUGAGGAACACCCGUGGCGAAGGCGGGUCUCUGGACAAUUCCUGACACUGAGGCACGAAGGCCAGGGGAGCAAACGGG